rnacentral:rRNA from 1 species
UGCCAGCAGCCGCGGUAAUACGAAGGGGGCUAGCGUUGUUCGGAAUUACUGGGCGUAAAGCGCGCGUAGGCGGCUACGUAAGUUGGGGGUGAAAGCCCGGAGCUCAACUCCGGAACUGCCCUCAAAACUGUGUAGCUAGAAAUCUGGAGAGGUGAGUGGAACUCCUAGUGUAGGGGUGAAAUCCAUAGAUAUUAGGAAGAACACCAGUGGCGAAGGCGGCUCACUGGCCAGAUAUUGACGCUGAGGUGCGAAAGCGUGGGGAGCAAACAGGAUUAGAUA